CACGGGGGGAGCAAGCGUUGUUCGGAAUCACUGGGCGUAAAGGGCGUGUAGGCGGUCAAGUAAGUGGAAUGUGAAAUCCCCCGGCUUACCCGGGGACCUGCAUCCCAAACUGCUUGGCUUGAGUACGGGAGAGGAUGAGGGAAUUCCUGGUGUAGCGGUGAAAUGCGUAGAUAUCAGGAGGAACACCGAUGGCGAAGGCAGGUCUCUGGGCCACUACUGACGCUGAGAAGCGAAAGCAUGGGGAGCGAACAGG
rnacentral:rRNA from 1 species